rnacentral:rRNA from 1 species
AGCGAACGCUGGCGGCAGGCUUAACACAUGCAAGUCGAGCGGGCGUAGCAAUACGUCAGCGGCAGACGGGUGAGUAACGCGUGGGAACAUACCUUUUGGUUCGGAACAACACAGGGAAACUUGUGCUAAUACCGGAUAAGCCCUUACGGGGAAAGAUUUAUCGCCGAAAGAUUGGCCCGCGUCUGAUUAGCUAGUUGGUGAGGUAACGGCUCACCAAGGCGACGAUCAGUAGCUGGUCUGAGAGGAUGAUCAGCCACAUUGGGACUGAGACACGGCCCAAACUCCUACGGGAGGCAGCAGUGGGGAAUAUUGGACAAUGGGCGAAAGCCUGAUCCAGCCAUGCCGCGUGAGUGAUGAAGGCCCUAGGGUUGUAAAGCUCUUUUGUGCGGGAAGAUAAUGACGGUACCGCAAGAAUAAGCCCCGGCUAACUUCGUGCCAGCCGCCGCCGUAA